rnacentral:rRNA from 1 species
CAAAACUCAAAAACUUAGUCUCAGUUCGGAUUGUUAGGCUGAAACUCGCCUACAUGAAGCUGGAGUUGCUAGUAAUCGCGAAUCAGCAUGUCGCGGUGAAUACGUUCCCGGGCCUUGUACACACCGCCCGUCACACCAUGAGAGUUGGCAAUACCCAACGUACGUGAUCUAACCCGCAAGGGAGGAAGCGUCCUAAGGUAGGGUCAGCGAUUGGGGUGAAGUCGUAACAAGGUAAC